rnacentral:rRNA from 1 species
UGGUCAAGUUAUUAAGGGUGCAGGGCGGAUGCCUUGGCACUAGGAGCCGAUGAAGGACGUGAUAAGCUGCGAUAAGCUUCGGGGAGUUGCACGUAAACUUUGAUCCGAAGAUUUCCGAAUGAGGAAACUCACUUAGAGUAAUGUCUAAGUAUCAUUAAGUGAAUACAUAGCUUAAUGAGGGGAACUCAGGGAACUGAAACAUCUAAGUACCUGAAGGAAGAGAAAGAAAUUCGAUUCCGUAAGUAGCGGCGAGCGAACGCGGAUUAGCCCAAACCAAUAAAGUUUUCUUUAUUGGGGUUGCGGACAUAUCAUAACGAAGAGGUAUCGUAAUUGAAGAGGUUUGGAAAGACCCACCACAGAAGGUAAUAGUCCUGUAUGUUAAACGAGAAGACUUUAGAUAUGAUCCAGAGUACCACGGGACACGUGAAAACCCUGUGGGAAGCAGGAGGGACCACCCUCCAAGGCUAAAUACUACCUAGUGACCGAUAGCGUAUAGUUACCGUGAGGGAAAGGUGAAAAGAACCCCGGGAGGGGAGUGAAAUAGAACCUGAAACCCUGCACUUACAAGCUGUGGAAGCACAUUUCUUGUGUGACCGCGUACUUUUUUGUAGAACGGGCCAACGAGUUACGUUAAGUAGCAAGGUUAAGCACUUAAGGUGCGGAGCCGUAGCGAAAGCGAGUUUUAACUGAGCGUUCAGUUACUUGACGUAGACCCGAAACCGGGCGACCUACCCAUGAGCAGGAUGAAGCGAAAGUAAAAUUUCGUGGAGGUCCGAACCCACGAGCGUUGAAAAGCUCGGGGAUGACUUGUGGAUAGCGGUGAAAUUCCAAUCGAGCCCGGAGAUAGCUGGUUCUCCCCGAAAUAGCUUUAGGGCUAGCCUCAAGGUGAGAGAUACGGAGGUAGAGCACUGAAUGUCCUAGGGGGUAUUGCACCUACCGAAGACUAUCAAACUCCGAAUGCCGUCAUCUUAUACUUGGGAGUCAGACUGUGGGUGAUAAAGAUUCAUAGUCGAAAGGGCAACAGCCCAGAUCGUCAGCUAAGGUCCCUAAAUGUAAGUUAAGUGGUAAAGGAUGUGGGAUUGCACCAGACAACCAGGAUGUUGGCUUAGAAGCAGCCACUCAUUCAAAGAGUGCGUAAUAGCUCACUGGUCGAGUGAUCCUGCGCCGAAGAUUUCCGGGGCUAAAACUUACUACCGAAGCUACGGCAUCAGUAAUGAUGGGUAGGGGAGCUUCCCAUACGGGUUGAAGCAUGACCGUAAGGACAUGUGGACAGUAUGGGAGUGAGAAUGUUGGCAUGAGUAGCGAGAUGUGGGUGAGAAUCCCACAGGCCGUAAACCCAAGGUUUCCAGGGGAAGGUUCGUCCGCCCUGGGUUAGUCGGGACCUAAGCUGAGGCCGAAAGGCGUAGGUGAUGGACAACAGGUUGAUAUUCCUGUACUACCGAUAACCGUUUGAGAGAAGGGAUGACACAGUAGGAUAAGCUAAGCACACUGUUGGUUAUGUGUGCCCAAGCAUUGAGGCAGUCAAAGUAGGCAAAUCCGCUUUGAUAAUGCUGGGAUGUGAUGGGGAGCGAAAUUUAGUAGCGAAGUAGCUGAUUUCACACUGUCAAGAAAAGUCUCUAUCGAGGUUAAAGGUACCCGUACCGCAAACCGACACAGGUGGGUGAGGAGAGUAUCCUAAGGCCAGCGAGAGAACUGUUGUUAAGGAACUCGGCAAAAUGACCCCGUAACUUAAGGGAUAAGGGGUGCCACCAUCAGGUGGCCGCAGAGAAUAGGCCCAAGCGACUGUUUACCAAAAACAUAGGUUUCUGCUAAGUCGCAAGACGAUGUAUAGGAGCUGACGCCUGCCCGGUGCUGGAAGGUUAAGGGGAUCUGUUAGAGCAAUCGAAGCAGUGAACUUAAGCCCCAGUAAACGGCGGCCGUAACUAUAACGGUCCUAAGGUAGCGAAAUUCCUUGUCGGGUAAGUUCCGACCCGCACGAAAGGCGUAACGAUUGGGCACUGUCUCAACAACAGACUCGGUGAAAUUGUAAUUCCGGUGAAGAUGCCGGAUACCUGCGACAGGACGGAAAGACCCCAUGGAGCUUUACUGUAGCUUGACAUUGGGUCUUGGUACUACAUGUACAGGAUAGGUGGGAGGCUUUGAAACCAGGACGCCAGUUUUGGCGGAGCCAUCCUUGGGAUACCACCCUUGUAGUACUGGGACUCUAACCAUAGGCCAUGAAUCUGGUCUUGGGACACUGUCAGGU